AAAUACCACAGGUGACAUGAAGACUAAGUUACAGCAGCUUCCUGAGCAACCAUCAUGCAUGCUGGACCAUCCUGGCCUAGAACCUGUCUGCCUGAAUGUGUUUUCACUGCAGAAUGCACUGAACAUUUAUCGGGCAGACUACGGACCUUUACGUCUGAGGGGAAUAGAGCACCAAUAUAGAUACGUAGCCUACAGAAGCUUUGUAAGCUGGUGCUGGUGCUUUCUGGGGUGGAGAGUGAGAGCUGUGCUGCCUGCCUGCGUGGUGCUGAGGAUUCGUGCAGAGUUCCCUGACACAGAAGGACAGUAUGUUUACAACUGAUUUGGAUCAGGUGUGUUAUUGCUCGGUUGGAAUGAAAACCUGCAGCCACAUGUCCCUUUACUGGAUCAGUUUGACACCACUGUUAUAAAGGGUAACUCCAACGUUGGUUAUCAGGCUCAAAAUUCAUUAUCAGAGCACAGUUGGGACUGCACAGGAUAUUUCCCAGAUCUAUUUAUAUGCAUGAUCAUGACCCAGAUUUAUUUGCCACUACAAUGGCAGCUCCACCAUCAGAUCCCCUGUGGACAACAGGUGGGCUCACUCCCAAGUCUCCGGUUCUCCCCAUCUCGUCACCACUGACAGUGCCAGGGUCAUCUGAACCCACCGGGCUGGUACUCCUCUGGGGUGGAUGGCCUUUUGAAGUUGUUCUUAUUCUCAUUCUAUGAAUGUCAUGUGAAAUGAGGGAGCGAAGCUGCUGGACCAAUGAAAAGGAAACUGAAUCAGGUGUUUCACGCUCUGUUCCUCCUGUUUGUCCAAAGCAUUGGAGGCGAGACUGCUCUUGCCUGACUGUUUAUUCAUGAC